ACAUGCAAGUCGUACGCACUGGCCCAACUGAUUGAUGGUGCUUGCGCCUGAUUGACGAUGGAUCGCCAGUGAGUGGCGGACGGGUGAGUAACACGUAGGUAACCUGCCCC
rnacentral:rRNA from 1 species